ACCUGGCUGGCUUAGUUGGUUGAGCAUCUGACUUUGGCUCAGGUCACGAACUCAUAGUUUGUGAGUUCAAGCCCUGCGUCAGGCU
rnacentral:tRNA from 1 species